rnacentral:rRNA from 1 species
AGGGGAGCGUUCUGUAAGCCUGUGAAGGUGUGCUGUGAGGCAUGCUGGAGGUAUCAGAAGUGCGAAUGCUGACAUAAGUAACGAUAAAGCGGGUGAAAAGCCCGCUCGCCGGAAGACCAAGGGUUCCUGUCCAACGUUAAUCGGGGCAGGGUGAGUCGACCCCUAAGGCGAGGCCGAAAGGCGUAGUCGAUGGGAAACGGGUUAAUAUUCCCGUACUUGGUGUUACUGCGAAGGGGGGACGGAGAAGGCUAUGUUGGCCGGGCGACGGUUGUCCCGGUUUAAGCGUGUAGGUGUGUGUUCCAGGUAAAUCCGGUUCACUUUAACACUGAGGCGUGAUGACGAGGCACUACGGUGCUGAAGCAACAAAUGCCCUGCUUCCAGGAAAAGCCUCUAAGCAUCAGGUAACAUCAAAUCGUACCCCAAACCGACACAGGUGGUCAGGUAGAGAAUACCAAGGCGCUUGAGAGAACUCGGGUGAAGGAACUAGGCAAAAUGGUGCCGUAACUUCGGGAGAAGGCACGCUGACACGUAGGUGAAGUGAUUUACUCACGGAGCUGAAGUCAGUCGAAGAUACCAGCUGGCUGCAACUGUUUAUUAAAAACACAGCACUGUGCAAACACGAAAGUGGACGUAUACGGUGUGACGCCUGCCCGGUGCCGGAAGGUUAAUUGAUGGGGUCAGCGCAAGCGAAGCUCCUGAUCGAAGCCCCGGUAAACGGCGGCCGUAACUAUAACGGUCCUAAGGUAGCGAAAUUCCUUGUCGGGUAAGUUCCGACCUGCACGAAUGGCGUAAUGAUGGCCAGGCUGUCUCCACCCGAGACUCAGUGAAAUUGAACUCGCUGUGAAGAUGCAGUGUACCCGCGGCAAGACGGAAAGACCCCGUGAACCUUUACUAUAGCUUGACACUGAACAUUGAGCCUUGAUGUGUAGGAUAGGUGGGAGGCUUUGAAGCGUGGACGCCAGUCUGCGUGGAGCCGACCUUGAAAUACCACCCUUUAAUGUUUGAUGUUCUAACGUGGAUCCGUGAUCCGGGUUGCGGACAGUGUCUGGUGGGUAGUUUGACUGGGGCGGUCUCCUCCUAAAGAGUAACGGAGGAGCACGAAGGUUGGCUAAUCCUGGUCGGACAUCAGGAGGUUAGUGCAAUGGCAUAAGCCAGCUUGACUGCGAGCGUGACGGCGCGAGCAGGUGCGAAAGCAGGUCAUAGUGAUCCGGUGGUUCUGAAUGGAAGGGCCAUCGCUCAACGGAUAAAAGGUACUCCGGGGAUAACAGGCUGAUACCGCCCAAGAGUUCAUAUCGACGGCGGUGUUUGGCACCUCGAUGUCGGCUCAUCACAUCCUGGGGCUGAAGUAGGUCCCAAGGGUAUGGCUGUUCGCCAUUUAAAGUGGUACGCGAGCUGGGUUUAGAACGUCGUGAGACAGUUCGGUCCCUAUCUGCCGUGGGCGCUGGAGAACUGAGGGGGGCUGCUCCUAGUACGAGAGGACCGGAGUGGACGCAUCACUGGUGUUCGGGUUGUCAUGCCAAUGGCACUGCCCGGUAGCUAAAUGCGGAAGAGAUAAGUGCUGAAAGCAUCUAAGCACGAAACUUGCCCCGAGAUGAGUUCUCCCUGAGACUACGAGUCUCCUGAAGGAACGUUGAAGACGACGACGUUGAUAGGCCGGGUGUGUAAGCGCAGCGAUGCGUUGAGCUAACCGGUA